rnacentral:lncRNA from 1 species
AUGUCCCAUGAUUCACACGGCAAUAUUGAUAACGGUGCUGUAACCACGGCAACAGGAACGCUGCCACCCGGCUCCUGCACUAGACGGGGUCGGCAGUGCCCAUCCGCUGCCUCCCACGUGACCUUCCUGCCUCUCUGUGCCUGGCUUGAGCAAGCCUCACGCCCUCCAGGCCUGCACCUCCAGGGCUGUCUGAUUUCCCCUUGGUCCAAGGGCGACUCGGGACAGCACCGCGUCCACCAGGUGCUCUGCGGCGCUGGCCCGGGUGUCUGUCGGUGCCGGGGCUCCUGCCCUCCUGUGUCCCCCGGGGGCUUUCGCACAGGCUCCCGCGGUUCCGUAGGCGAGAAGCUGCUGCCGUGCCACGUGCAGCCCACACUUUCCGCCGGAUCUCGUCCCUGCCCCGGCGGGAGUGACGCCCGCCCUCCCCACCGCGCUCAGCUCCUCUCUGGGGACCUUGGCUUGGCUUCCCUGUGCGUGAGCUCCAGACGUUUUAAAGAUUUACUUGAAAGUCAGAGUUACACAGAGAAUCUUACGCUGGUUCACUCCCCAAAUGGCCGCAACAGCCGGGACUGGGCCAGGCUGAAGCCAGGAGCCAGGAGCUUCUUCCGGGUCUCCCACGCGGGUGCAGGGAUCCAAGGACUUGGGCCAUCUUCUACCGCUUUCCCAGGCAUAGCAGAGAGCUGGAUCGGAAGUGGAGCAGCCGGGACUCGAACCAGCGCCCACAUGAGAUGCCGGCACUGUAGGUGGCAGCUACACCCGCUGCGCCACAGCGUCGGCCCCAUAGUCCCCUGGUUCUUAGCAGGUCCUGGGCCACCACGUGGACUUCCCGCAGCUCCUGACACCGCGGCCCUCCCCAUGUGCCCUGAAUGUAGGCCUCCUCUUGGCGUCCGCGCCUCUGGUCCCAACCGGCAGAGGCGCUGUGGUGGCCGCGGCUCCUCUCGGGGCUGCGUCUGCCCUGGGUUCCUGGACGGUGCUCCUCAUCUCCCGGCUGCUGGCUGCCUGUGGCCUGGAUGUGUUUCAGGCAGGCUGUGGCAGUGUGGGCGUGGUCUCGGCCUCCAGUCGUGGUGGGGGCCACAGCCUGGUCCCCUGCUCGGCCCCCGCACGUGGUGCCUGGCUGGUGGGGCUUCCUGGGACGUCUCACCCGCGUCCUGGGGUUCAAGCUCCCAGGGAGACUGGAGGCUCCCAGGGCCCAAGGGGCACAGCCCCCUCGUGCCCCAGGCGAGGGCCUCUCCCACUCUCCCCCUGCACUAG